rnacentral:lncRNA from 1 species
UACAUUUGUCUCAAUGAUUAGCCACAAAAAGGAGAUGAGCUGAUUUGCAUGGUGCAUAGCCACCUUGGUGCAUGCGACGGUAAGAUGUCAAUAUCUGUGCAGCGUACGCACCAUAUUAUAGUUUUAAUGCAGACUUAGAUGCUUCUUUUUAUCAGAUACCAUCCUAGUAUUUUAAGACAUCCAAAAGUGCUAGGGAAAGAAACUUUUUUGUCGA